rnacentral:rRNA from 1 species
CCUACGGGGGACAGCAGUAGGGAAUAUUGCUCAAUGGGCGAAAGCCUGAACCAGCAAAGCCGCGUGGAGGAUGAAGGCCUUCGGGUUGUAAACCCCUUUUGUUGGAGAAGAAAAGUACGGUGUCUAUACCUUAAGCAGCGGCUAAUUCCGUGCCAGCACCCGCGGUCAGACGGAGGGUGCCAGCGUUACGCGGAAGUACUGGGCGUAAAGAGCGCGUAGAGGGGUUAGCAAGUCAGAUGUGAAGUCCUAUGGCUUAACCGUAGAAUUGCAUUUGAAACUGUUAUUCUAGAGUACGGGAGAGGUAGGUGGAAUUCUUGGUGUAGCGGUGAAAUCCGUAGAGAUCACGAAGAAUACUGAUUGCGAAGGCGGCCUGCUAGAACGUAACUGACGCUGAUGCGCGAAAGCGUGGGGAGCAAACAGGAUUAGAUACCCGUGUAGUC